rnacentral:rRNA from 1 species
AGGGUUUGAUCAUGGCUCAGAACGUACGCUGGCGGCACGCCUAAUACAUGCAAGUCGAACGAAGUAGCAAUACUUAGUGGCAGACGGGUGAGUAACAUGUAGGUAUCUUCCCAUUGGUGAGGAAUAACACGAGGAAACUUGUGCUAAUACCUCAUAAGUCUUUACGGAGAAAGCUUUAUGCGCCGAUGGAUGAGCCUGCACUUGAUUAGUUUGUUGGUAGGGUAAUGGCCUACCAAGACAAUGAUCAAUAGCUGAUUUGAGAGGAUGAUCAGCCACAUUGGGACUGAGACACGGCCCAAACUCCUACGGGAGGCAGCAGUAGGGAAUCUUGCACAAUGGGGGAAACCCUGAUGCAGCGAUGCCGCGUGAGUGAAGAAGGCCUUUGGGUUGUAAAGCUCUUUCGUCGGGGAAGAAAAUGACUGUACCCGAAUAAGAAGGUCCGGCUAACUUCGUGCCAGCAGCCGCGGUAAUACGAAGGGACCUAGCGUAGUUCGGAAUUACUGGGCUUAAAGAGUUCGUAGGUGGUUAAAAAAGUUGGUGGUGAAAUCCCAGAGCUUAACUCUGGAACUGCCAUCAAAACUUUUUAGCUAGAGUAUGAUAGAGGAAAGCAGAAUUUCUAGUGUAGAGGUGAAAUUCGUAGAUAUUAGAAAGAAUACCAAUUGCGAAGGCAGCUUUCUGGAUCAUUACUGACACUGAGGAACGAAAGCAUGGGUAGCGAAGAGGAUUAGAUACCCUCGUAGUCCAUGCCGUAAACGAUGUGUGUUAGACGUUGGAAAUUUAUUUUCUGUGUCGCAGCGAAAGCAAUAAACACACCGCCUGGGGAGUACGACCGCAAGGUUAAAACUCAAAUGAAUUGACGGGGACCCGCACAAGUAGUGGAGCAUGUGGUUUAAUUCGAAGAUACGCGCAGAACCUUACCAACACUUGACAUGUUCGUCGCGACUUUAAGAGAUUAAAGUUUUCGGUUCGGCCGGACGAAACACAGGUGCUGCAUGGCUGUCGUCAGCUCGUGUCGUGAGAUGUUGGGUUAAGUCCCGCAACGAGCGCAACCCUCACUUUUAGUUGCCAUCAUUAAGUUGGGCACUCUGAAAGAACUGCCAGUGAUAAGCUGGAGGAAGGUGGGGAUGACGUCAAGUCCUCAUGGCCCUUACGUGUUGGGCUACACACGUGCUACAAUGGCAUUUACAAUAGGAAGCAAAACGGCGACGUUAAGCAAAUCCUAAAAAAAUGCCUCAGUUCGGAUUGUACUCUGCAACUCGAGUACAUGAAGCUGGAAUUACUAGUAAUCGCGGAUCAGCGCGCCGCGGUGAAUACGUUCCCGGGUCUUGUACACACCGCCCGUCACACCAUGGGAGUUGGUUCUACCUUAAGGCAAAGCUUAAUACCUUUGACCACGGUAUAGUCAGCGACUGGGGUGAAGUCAUAACAAGGUAACCGUA